rnacentral:rRNA from 1 species
ACUAACAGGAUUCCCCUAGUAACUGCGAGUGAAGCGGGAAAAGCUCAAAUUUGAAAUCUGGCGGUCCUUUGCGGCCGUCCGAGUUGUAAUCUAGAGAAGUGCUACCCGCGCUGGACCGUGUACAAGUCUCCUGGAAUGGAGCGUCACAGAGGGUGAGAAUCCCGUCUUUGACACGGACUGCCAGGGCUUAUGUGGUGCGCUCUCGAAGAGUCGAGUUGUUUGGGAAUGCAGCUCUAAAUGGGUGGUAAAUUCCAUCUAAAGCUAAAUACAGGCGAGAGACCGAUAGCGAACAAGUACCGUGAGGGAAAGAUGAAAAGAACUUUGGAAAGAGAGUUAAACAGUACGUGAAAUUGCUGAAAGGGAAACGUUUGAAGUCAGUCGCGUUGGCUGGGGAUCAACCUUGCUCUUGCAGGGCGCACUCUCUGGCUCGACGGGUCAGCAUCAGUUUCGGCCGCUGGAGAAAGGCUAGGGGAAUGUGGCAUCGCUUCGGUGAUGUGUUAUAGCCCUUGGUCGUAUGCAGCGGCUGGGACUGAGGAACUCAGCCUGCCCUUAACUGGGCCGGGUCUUUUUGACCACGCUUAACGGGCUUAGGAUGCUGGCAUAAUGGCUUUAAGCGACCCGUCUUGAAACACGGACCAAGGAGUCUAACAUGCUUGCGAGUGUUUGGGUGGAAAACCCGAGCGCGUAAUGAAAGUGAAAGUUGGGAACCCUGUCGUGGGGUGCACCGACGCCCGGACCAGACCUUCUUGCGACGGCUCCGCGGUAGAGCAGGCAUGUUGGGACCCGAAAGAUGGUGAACUAUGCCUGAAUAGGGUGAAGCCAGAGGAAACUCUGGUGGAGGCUCGUAGCGAUUCUGACGUGCC